rnacentral:lncRNA from 1 species
AUAAGAAACCACAGCAUUGGGUCUGCAGAGUACCUGAUGUGAACUGAUUGCCUUCAGUGGAAAUAUGAACACUAUGGGAGCCAGACCUAAAUGCCAUGCCACAGAAUGCUGGCAAACCCUUCCCUUACACCAAAAAUGAUUGCUCAGGCUGUGAAAGACAAAUUUUACGUGACAGCACAUGUCAGCAUCCACGUGGAGGUAUGGAAAGAGGGAAGGAGAUGGUGUAAAAUUAGGAGAGCUUUGAAAACUGAAAAACUCACCUGCAAACAUUUUGAGAGAUUUCAGUGUUUGAAGACAAGAUGGUCAAAUUAUGUUAAUUUUGGAGAUAUCUGAAAACCUGGUGUAUCAUUUUAGAGCUACAGACCCCCACAAUGUUUAAUCAUUUGUGCCAAGUUUAUUGGAAUUUUUUAUUUUUCCUUUAAAUGAGAAAGGCUCUUCAAACCUUGAAAAUUCAGUUUCAGAGUUCCAAAAGAAAUGUAUUUUGCAGCUUUUCCAUCCUUUUGGGUUCUUCUCCUCCCCCUCCACACUGCCUCUUGCACUCUUGUCUUUGGAGAGCAGAGUUUAACAUGCCUCUGAGGAGAUAGCCUGCAUGCAAAGUCCCUCAAACAUAAACACACUUCAGGAACAGAUUCACCCCAGUGCGCUUCCAAAUGUGGAAACCACAUUCCAUCUGCAUCCUUAUCAGCUGGUCAAUAGCUGGGAUGUUGAAUGGACAUUCCUUAAAGUGAAGGUUAUGAAAACACACAUUUACUUCUCAGCAGUGAUUCACCAGCUUCCCACCAGAUUCACCAACUCUCUCUGCCCAAGAGCAGUUGAGCUCAAAGCGGCUCACGCUGCGGACUUGGAGACUGUUGUGCAGGAAUUUGCCACACUGAGCUGCAAAACUCUCUUCAGGUGACUUCUCUGAUGGUUAAGAAGCCCUGUGUUCAUUCAACUCAGGUUUGCAGCUCUGUGACACCAAUGACUUCUGGGCUGUCACCCCAACAGAAAAAUCCGAGGCCAUGUGAGCAAGCUUGUCACACACCCUGCCUGAUGAUAAGAUGCAAACUGGGGAACUGUUGCCCAAGACUUUGUCACCUUGAGACUUGGCUGCAAUCCAAGGUAAGGCAGAGCCUGCAGAAUGCACUGAGCAGUGCAGAUGGAGGAAUGGCUACACAACUGUUUUUUCACGUUGGGAGCCUUAGGUCCAGUGGUAAUUUAUGCCUGUCCAGCCCCAAAGGCAGAUAA